UACUCACCCUCACAUUCACCACUGCUCCUGUAGCAGCUGUGACUGUCGUGUCCAGGCGAAGCUUCAUCAGCGUGUGACUCUCCCAUGUGACCAUGAAUGUCCUGGUGAGGCCAAGUGGACCUUACAACGUAAUCGAGAUGUUGUCUUCGCUCGGUGUGAUCAGACAUCAUGCAGCUCAGUGGUGAAGGGAUAUGAAAUGUCUCAUGAUCAGUACCUGAAGGGAGAUCUCUCUCUCACCAUCACUGCAGCUGAAUACAGUAUGAGGAACACGUACGCGUGUGAGUGUGGCGGCAGUAGACUACGCUGUAUGGCGUCUCAGCAUUGAGACCGUGUUCUCAGCAGUUCAGAAGAACCCUGGUGAAGAUCUGAUCCUGGAUCUGACCGUACCAGAGCCAGUGGAGGUGAUUUAUACAAGCAGUGAUUCAGCUGAUGGUGAACGGAUCUGUAACGUGACUCAACGCUCACUACAGUGUAAAGCUGAAUACACACACAGAACAUCACUCAGAUACCCAGAGCUCACACUGAGAGACGUGACGCACAGUGAUAGUGGACUUUACACCAUCCGGGACACGGAGAAUAAUGAAGACAUCCGUGUGUACGCCGUCUCUGUGACAGGGGACUGUGCUGUACCACACUGGGUAAUGAGGGUGAUAGCGGUGCUGACUGCGUUUGUGGUGAUGUUCUGUGCCAUGUUUUUUUGGUUUAUCCAUAAAGUCUACUGUAACUGUUGUAAACACUCCAUUUAAGAUUCCUGAAAACUGAGGACUCCCGAGUGGAGCAACAGAAAAGUCCUCAGGAGAUCACAAGUCUGAAUGACACAGCCAUCCGUGCUCAGGAGCCAAGAGCGAUAAAACCGGCAGUGCUGCUGGGUGUUCUGUCUCUCCCUGUCAAUCACAGCAACACACGCCAAUCAUGGACAUCUGUAAGCUCACGUAUUUGGAAGAAGACCAGUAGCGCUUUCCUCAGAGUGUGUUACGCAGCCCUGUGAUGCAGCAUGAGCAGCAGUAGAAACGUUGUGGUUGAUUGCACGUAUUUCAGAAGAAGCCUGUGUCAGCCUUCACCCUCCUGGUUGCUAGCUGUUAUGUGAUAGGUGUAUGGCAUGGUUGUUGGUGCCAGAUGGGCUGUUUAAGUAUUUCUAUAACUGCUGAUCUUCUGUGAUUUUCACACACAGCAGUCUCUAGAGUUACUCAGAAUGGUGCAAUAAAGAAAACAACAUUCAGUGAGCGGGAUUUCUGUGGAUGGAAACACCAUGUUGAUGAGAGAGGUCAGAGGAGAAUGUCCGGACUGGUUGGAGCUGACAGAAAGUCUAUGUAACUCAGAUAAUCACUCUGUACAAUUGUGGUGAGCAGAAAAGCAUCUCAGAAAGCACAACACGUCGAACCAUGAGGUGGAUGGGCUACAACAGCUGAACACCAUGUGGGGUUCCUCUUCUGUCAGCAAAGAACAGGAAGCUGAGGCUGCACUGGGCACAGACUCACCAAAACUGGACAGAUGAAGACUGGAAAAACGUCGCCUGAUCUCCAUUUCUGCUGAGGGACACAGAUGGUUCGGUCAGAAUUAGGCACCAACAGCAUGAACCCAUGGACCCAACCUGCCUUGUAGAUCACCUUUGGGAUGAGGUAGAACGAGAGAUUCACGAAAUUAAAUUGCAUCUGAAAAAUGUGCAGGAACUGCGUAAUGCAGUCAUGUCAACAUGGACCAGAAUCUCAAAGGAAUGUUUCCAACACCUUUUGGAAUCCAUGCCAUGAAGAACUGAGGCUGUUUGGAGAGCAAAGUGAGGCCCAUGCCAGUAUUAGUGUAGUGUUCCUAAUAAAGUACUCUGUAAGUGUAUGUGUCUAAGCCCACGAUUAGCUAGUGUAACUGUGAUUAACAGGAGAGAGUGAAUAUGCCCCUCCCACCCAGAGAGUACGGCCAGUUUAGCUCUCUUGGCUCCUUUCCACAGAUGUGGCAUUGAAGGAAUCAAACUCACGAUCUUUGGCUUUAGUGGUCAUUAAACAACACUUUUAUUUACAUUUAUAUCAAACAAUUACAAAUAAAAACUCACAUAUUUAUCCUAGUAGCUUUAAUCUGCUAUCCACAUGAAACAUGCCUAUCAUCUAUAAACUGCACUUUGAGAAUCGUUUGAAGAAAGGAAUGUAAUUUUAGGGAUUUGGAGACCCCUCUGGUGGAAACAUGUCACUGCAAGUAAUAAUAUUCCAUAAAUUCUGCUCCCCCACACAAACACUGGAUUAAUCUAUUGUUGUGUAACAUGUCAGUACACAUUCAGGGCAGAAUUCAAGUGCUCAGAAAUCUGAUGUGUUCUCCACACUAACUCACUAACAUUCAUCUGAACAUCCUGUGUUGGUUUAAACAUGCUUCUUCAUUUUUACAUUUUACAUGGAAGCCACUUGUUUCUGUGUUUAACAUGUGCCCUGGUUUGAAAUGAAGGACAUUUUAAAAUGCAGAUUCAUGUGAGUUCUGUCUCUUUAUUGCAAAGUAUUUUGAGCUGAAAUACAGCUGGGCUUAUUUAAAUAUAAAUAAAAUGCAUUAUUAUUUAUAUGAGAGACAUGAGCUGCUUUCACAUUAGGAUUAAACUGUGGCUGUAAAACUCUGCCCUUUACAUUAUCUUAUAAAUCUAUUCUGUUUAAUAUAUUAAAUAUAUUACAGUCUUUCUUCCUCUCUUUCUCUCUUUCUUCUCUGUGAAGGCAGAAGAAGUGAUCUGAG
ensembl:lncRNA